UGGUCAAACUCAAUUCGUUAAAUAUAAAACAAAAGAGAAGCAGAUAAGUGAUAAGUCCGUGGAAACAACACUGCUCAUUCGCGUCUGUCAGCUGCCGUGCUGCUCCUCUACUGCAGCCGUUCACUGAACAGGGACGCAGAGAGAGGUGUGACGGCAGGGAGAAAGCAAACCUCGCGCUCGCAGGAUUGUGCUGGCAACAUUUGGUUACUGAGGUAGCCUAAAUGUGAGACGUUGGCAGUCCACAUCUGCUGCGUCUUCUGAACAAAACAAGUGAGUUUGCUGACGUAUGACGACGCUUUGCAGGAGACCGCGGCGCGAUGAUUCGUCAAAGUUGCAGAAAAGUUGCGGUGAUUUUUCAAAAUUGCAAGG